rnacentral:rRNA from 1 species
AGAGUUUGAUCCUGGCUCAGGACACACGCUAGCGGCGUACUUAACGAAUGCGAGUCGAGCGAUGAACUCGGCCUGCGGCUUCGUCCAAAGGUUGGGAAUCAGCGGCAAACGGGUGAGUAACACGUAGCUAACCUACCCUCGAGAUCGGGAUAGCUGCCAGAAAUGGCGGGUAAUACCGGGUACGUCCCCCUGGUCGCAUGACUGGGAGGGGAGAGGCUUCGGUCGCUCGAGGAUGGGGCUGCGGCUCAUUAGCUAGUUGGUAGGGUAACGGCCUACUAAGGCGACGAUGGGUAGCCGGCCUGAGAGGGUGCCCGGCCACACUGGGACUGAGACAUGGUCCAGACUCCUACGGGAGUUAGCAUCGAGGGAUAUUGCGCAAUGGGCGAAAGCCUGACGCAGUGACGCCGCGUGGGUGACGAAGGCCUUCGGGUCGUAAAGCCCUGUCGGGUGGGAUGAAGCCCCCGGGUAGUGCCGGGGGGUGACAGUACCGCCCAAGAAAGCCACAGCUAACUACGUGCCAGCAGCUGCGGUAAUACGUAGGUGACAAGCGUUGUCCGGAAUUACUGGGCGUAAAGGGCAUCUAGGCGGCUUGAUAAGUGGAAUGUGAAAGUCCGGGACUCAACCUCGGAAAGCCGUUUCAAACUGUCAGGCUUGAGUGCGGGAGAGGGAAGUGGAACUCACGGUGUAGCGGUGAAAUGCGUAGAUAUCGUGAGGAACACCAGUGGCGAAGGCGGCUUCCUGGACCGCAACUGACGCUGAAGUGCGAAAGCUAGGGGAGCAAACGGGAUUAGAUACCCCGGUAGUCCUAGCCGUAAACGAUGACCACUAGGUGUUGGGGGCAUCGACCCUCCCAGUGCCGAAGCUAACGCAUUAAGUGGUCCGCCUGGGGAGUACGGCCGCAAGGCUGAAACUCAAAGGAAUUGACGGGGGCCCGCACAAGCGGUGGAGCAUGUUGCUUAAUCCGACGCAACGCGAAGAACCUUACCAGGCCUUGACUACUAGCGACCGCCCUCGAAAGGGGGCUUCCGGGCAACCGGCGCGAAAAACAGGUGGUGCAUGGCUGUCGUCAGCUCGUGUCGUGAGAUGUUGGGUUAAGUCCCGCAACGAGCGCAACCCUCGCUGCGUGUUACCAGCGGGUUAUGCCGGGGACUCACGCGGUACUGCCGGAGCAAUCCGGAGGAAGGUGGGGAUGACGUCAAGUCGGCAUGCCCCUUAAGGUCUGGGCUGCAAACAUGCUACAAUGGCCGGUACAAAGGGCUGCAAGGUCGCGAGGCCAAGCCAAUCCCUAAAAGCCGGUCUCAGUUCGGAUUGGAGUCUGCAACUCGACUCCAUGAAGCUGGAAUCGCUAGUAACCGCAGAUCAGCAACGCUGUGGUGAAUACGUUCCCGGGCCUUGUACACACCGCCCGUCACGUCAUGAAAGCCGGCUACACCCGAAGCCAAUGGGCCAACCCUUCGGGGAGGCAGUUGUCGAAGGUGAAUCCGGUGAUUGGGACGAAGUCGUAACAAGGUA